UACGAAGGGGGCUAGCGUUGUUCGGAAUUACUGGGCGUAAAGCGCACGUAGGCGGAUUGUUUAGUGAGGGGUGAAAUCCCAGGGCUCAACCCUGGAACUGCCUCUCAUACUGGCAAUCUCGAGUUCGAGAGAGGUGAGUGGAAUUCCGAGUGUAGAGGUGAAAUUCGUAGAUAUUCGGAGGAACACCAGUGGCGAAGGCGGCUCACUGGCUCGAUACUGACGCUGAGGUGCGAAAGCGUGGGGAGCAAACAGGAUUAGAUACCCCGGUA
rnacentral:rRNA from 1 species